UACGUAGGUGGCAAGCGUUAUCCGGAAUUACUGGGCGUAAAGCGCACGCAGGCGGUCUUUUAAGUUUGACGUGAAAGCUCCCGGCUUAACUGGGAGAGGUCGUUGAAUACUGGGAGACUUGAGGCAAUGAGAGGGGUGUAGAAUUCCCGGUGUAGUGGUGGAAUGCGUAGAUAUCGGGGGGAAUACCAGUGGCGAAAGCGGCACCCUAGCGUUAGCCUGACGCUCAUGUGCGAAAGCGUGGGGAGCGAACGGG
rnacentral:rRNA from 1 species